UUCCGGUUGAUCCUGCCGGAGGCCAUUGCUAUCGGGGUCCGACUUAGCCAUGCUAGUUGUACGAGUUCAGACUCGUAGCAAAUAGCUCCGUAACACGUGGCCAAACUACCCUGCAGCGGGCGAUACCCUCGGGAAACUGAGGCUAAUAGCCCAUACCCGUCCCAGGCUGGAAUGCCGGGACGCGCAAACGCUCAGGCGCUGGAGGACGUGGCUGCGGCCGAUUAGGUAGACGGUGGGGUAACGGCCCACCGUGCCGAUAAUCGGUACGGGUUGUGAGAGCAAGAACCCGGAGACGGAAUCUGAGACAAGAUUCCGGGCCCUACGGGGCGCAGCAGGCGCGAAACCUUUACACUGCACGCAAGUGCGAUAGGGGGACCCCGAGUGCGAGGGCAUACAGUCCUCGCUUUUCAGCACCGUAAGGUGGUGCUGGAAGAAGAGCUGGGCAAGACCGGUGCCAGCCGCCGCGGUAAUACCGGCAGCUCGAGUGAUGGCCGAUUUUAUUGGGCCUAAAGCGUCCGUAGCCGGCCACGCAAGUCCAUCGGGAAAUCCGCCAGCCCAACUGGCGGGCGUCCGGUGGAACCUGUGUGGCUUGGGACCGGAAGACCCGAAGGGUACGUCUUGGGUAGGAGUGAAAUCCUGUAAUCCUGGACGGACCACCGAUGGCGAAAGCACUUCGGGAAGACGGAUCCGACGGUGAGGGACGAAAGCCAGGGUCUCGAACCGGAUUAGAUACCCGGGUAGUCCUGGCCGUAAACGAUGUCUGCUAGGUGUGACUCCCGCUACGAGCGGGUGUUGUGCCGUAGGGAAGCCGCUAAGCAGACCGCCUGGGAAGUACGUCCGCAAGGAUGAAACUUAAAGGAAUUGGCGGGGGAGCACUACAACCGGAGGAGCCUGCGGUUUAAUUGGAUUCAACGCCGGA
rnacentral:rRNA from 1 species